rnacentral:lncRNA from 1 species
UCCGUAGCCACUCCCUGAACCUGAUCCUUCCCCACCACCACCACCACCGCCACCGCCACCACCACCACCACCACCUCCUCCUCCACUACUUCCUCCCCCAGAGCCUGAACCAUAUCCGGAACCUGAGCCUGAACCGGAACCUCUACCAAGUGCUUUUGGAGAUCUAGCUGCUAAACAAACGUCAAAAACAACUAAAACCAAGAAAGUAACUCCUAAUAACCUGAGGCUUCCCAUUCUUCUCAUAACUUCUUAACUAUAAGAACCAAGCAAAUCAGCCACUAAUAAACAGAUUUUACUUUGUGAACGUUUUAGAAGAAAGAAAGCUAGCUCGAGAAGUCCUGUGUAAUGUAGGAUUUACUGGUGGUAGAGAAUGUUGGUCUGAGUAGGUACUUAUAAGGAACCAAGAAUAGUGGAAGCGUAAGAGUCACGUAAAUUCCAGUAGCUUCUUUUUGACCAGUAUGUGUGAAC